GCCCCCGUAGCUCAAGGGAUAGAGCAACUGCCUUCUAAGCAGUUGGUUGGAGGUUCGAGUCCUUCCGGGGGCGCCA
rnacentral:tRNA from 1 species